rnacentral:lncRNA from 1 species
AUUUUUUCACUUCAGAGGCUGCAAUACACGUGAAGGGGAAAAUUAACAUAAACAGGUACAGAACAGAACUAUUUAAAUCAAGAAAUAUCUCUCCUUUCUUGUCUUGGAGCUGGCUGUGUCAGUCUUCAGUUUUCAGUGGGGAAAAAUCCCAGCCCAUGGAAUUUGUGGCUUUCUAAACCAUUCCUUUGUGUGGUGACUUCACAUCAGAGCAGAUCCUGCUUCUCCAGAGGGGUGGGAGCAGGGAUUGCUGGUCCACAGGAAAUUUUGGGUUGUUGUGGCCUUGGCUGUCAGAGUGUGGGGGUUUGUUGGCCAUAAUUCCUGUUCCAAGCCAAAAAAAGCACUCACGUAAGUCAGCUCAGAUGGUUCUUCCUUUCCCUCCUUUUUCACCACUUAUUUUUGGGUGCUAAAGUUGUCACUACCGGUUGGAUGGGACAACACAGCCUUGGCAUUUUCCUCCUGCUGUGGUAGAAGAAGCAAUUUCCAUCAUUUUUUUUUGCUGGGAUUUGCCUGGAAAAUUAAAUAUCUGUGACAGCUGGUGAAGGAAAGGUUUGGGAAGGGCUUGGGUUGCCUGAUGUGUGUCCACCUUUGCCCCUGUGGGCUGUAGAGCAAAUAACCAGACCUUCCCUUUCCCUGGAGCCCUGGGACUCAUGGAUGUCUCUUCAAUUCUUG